rnacentral:rRNA from 1 species
GAACGCUGGCGGCGUGCUUAACACAUGCAAGUCGAACGAAGCACUUUAUUACGAUUUCUUCGGAAUGACGAUUUAGUGACUGAGUGGCGGACGGGUGAGUAACGCGUGGGUAACCUGCCCUAUACAGGGGGAUAACAGUUAGAAAUGACUGCUAAUACCGCAUAAGCGCACAGGAUUGCAUGAUCUGGUGUGAAAAACUCCGGUGGUAUAAGAUGGACCCGCGUCUGAUUAGCCAGUUGGCGGGGUAACGGCCCACCAAAGCGACGAUCAGUAGCCGACCUGAGAGGGUGACCGGCCACAUUGGGACUGAGACACGGCCCAAACUCCUACGGGAGGCAGCAGUGGGGAAUAUUGCACAAUGGGCGAAAGCCUGAUGCAGCGACGCCGCGUGAGCGAAGAAGUAUUUCGGUAUGUAAAGCUCUAUCAGCAGGGAAGAUAAUGACGGUACCUGACUAAGAAGCACCGGCUAAAUACGUG